rnacentral:rRNA from 1 species
AACGAACGCUGGCGGCGCGUCUUAAACAUGCAAGUCGAACGAGAACCCUAGUGCUUGCAUUGGGGGGAAAGUGGCGAACGGGUGAGUAACACGUGGAUAAUCUGCCUCCAGGAUGGGGACAACCCCGGGAAACCGGGGCUAAUACCGAGUAAGAUGGCAGAUGCACAGGCAUCAGCCAUUAAAGGUGGGGACCGCAAGGCCUACCGCCUGGAGAUGAGUCCGCGGCCCAUUAGCUUGUUGGCGGGGUAAAAGCCCACCAAGGCAACGAUGGGUAGCCGGCCUGAGAGGGUGAACGGCCACACUGGGACUGAGAUACGGCCCAGACUCCUACGGGAGGCAGCAGUUAAGAAUCUUGCACAAUGGGCGAAAGCCUGAUGCAGCGACGCCGCGUGGACGAUGAAGGUUUUCGGAUUGUAAAGUCCACUAAG